rnacentral:rRNA from 1 species
CCAGCAGCCGCGGUAAUUCCAGCACCAAUAGCGUAUACUCAAGUUGUUGCAUUUAAAACGCUCGUAGUCGUAAACCGGGAAACAGUUGUACGGUGGUCUACCUGAUUUCGAUUAGGCUGAACCUCUACUUCUGUACUCUAUGAUGUUAGUUAUUUUCUGAUCUUAAUUGAUUGGUUAAUAAUGAUACAUUCAUUGUCCCGUGAAUAAAUGGAAGUGUUCAAAGCAAUAUUUUCAUUUAAAAUUUUAUACCUUUAAGCACGGUAUGCGACAAUAUGGAUAAUACUCUUUAUUGUUGCUAUGUCGAGAGCGUUUAUCAAUGAUCGAUAAGGAAGAUUUGAGUCAGUCAUAUGUCUCGGCGAGAGGUGAAAUUCUUAGACCCUUGACAGAUGACCCAAGGCGA